rnacentral:rRNA from 1 species
GACGGCCGUCAAAAAAUGCAUUGGCGUUCUUGGGCAUGGCUUUCUACCCCAAAGUUCCUCGGUGGAAUGGGCUUCCGCGACUUGGUACUUUUCAAUCAGGCAAUGCUUGCGCGUUAGUGUUGGCGUCUCCUGACCGAACCCGACUCUUUGUGUUCGAGGGUCUUAAAGGGACGCUACUUCCCUGAUGGGGCUUUUUGGACUGCCUCCAAGCCAAGAUCAUCUUCCUUCACUUGGCGUAGUUUGCUUUUUGGGCGUCAACUGAUUCAGAAGGGAGCUCGGUGGGGUGUAGGAAAUGGCACCCGGAUCAAAGUUAUGGAAGACAACUGGAUUCCAGGUUUCCCUCCUGGAACUUUCAACUCGAUUCUCCCUAUUCCGGCUGGAACUUCAGUUCAGUUCUUGCUGGCUGAGUCAUUGGUGACUUGGGACGAAGACCUUGUGCGAAGCUUCUUUGCUGAUCCUAUUGCGGAACAAAUUCUGCAAGUUCCCAUAAGUCGUUUUGGGGGAGAUGACUUCCUGUCGUGGCCUCAUGACAAGCUUGGCAUCUACUCGGUCAAGUCUGGCUAUAAUCUUACUCGAAGUGAGAACUUCUUCUUCUCUACAAGUGGAAUGGGCAAGGGUCUGGCUUCCAAUAUUCGGGUGCAAAAAAGGAGUGGAAGGCCCUUUGGUCAGUCAGUUGUCCAAACAAAAUGA